rnacentral:rRNA from 1 species
UACGUAGGGUCCGAGCGUUAAUCGGAAUUACUGGGCGUAAAGCGUGCGCAGGUGGUUUUGUAAGCCAGAUGUGAAAUCCCCGGGCUCAACCUGGGAACUGCAUUUGGGACUGCAAGGCUAGAGUACGGCAGAGGGGGGUAGAAUUCCUGGUGUAGCAGUGAAAUGCGUAGAUAUCAGGAGGAAUACCGAUGGCGAAGGCAGCCCCCUGGGUCGAUACUGACGCUCAUGCACGAAAGCGUGGGGACAAACAGG